UCUUAGUUGGUGUAAGGUCACGAUAAAUUUUGAAUUUAUAGGAAGGCAUUGCCCUAUAAGAA
rnacentral:tRNA from 1 species